GCUGGAAUGGUCUAGGUUAUGACGACUGCCUAACACGCAGUAGGUCCCGAGUUCGAUUCUCGGUUCCAGUA
rnacentral:tRNA from 1 species